AUGCUUGCUUUGGCAGCACAUAUGCUAAAAUUGGAAUGAUACAGAAAGAUUAGCAUGGCCCCUGCUCAAGGAUGACAUACAAAUUUGCGAAGCAUUCCAUAUUUUC
rnacentral:snRNA from 1 species